AACCUGUAAUGAUGAGAUUCUGCCAAAUUAUUUCUAUGAUUAUACCUCUACUAUUCCAUUUAUCUGAGGUU
ensembl:snoRNA